rnacentral:rRNA from 1 species
AUUGAACGCUGGCGGCAUGCCUUACACAUGCAAGUCGAACGGCAGCACGGGGCAACCUGGUGGCGAGUGGCGAACGGGUGAGUAAUGCAUCGGAACGUACCUUUCAGUGGGGGAUAACGUAGCGAAAGUUACGCUAAUACCGCAUAUUCUGUGAGCAGGAAAGCAGGGGAUCGCAAGACCUUGCGCUGAUUGAGCGGCCGAUGUCAGAUUAGCUAGUUGGUGAGGUAAAGGCUCACCAAGGCGACGAUCUGUAGCGGGUCUGAGAGGAUGAUCGGCCAAACUGGAACUGAGACACGGUCCAGACUCCUACGGGAGGCAGCAGUGGGGAAUUUUGGACAAUGGGGGCAACCCUGAUCCAGCCAUGCCACGUGAGUGAAGAAGGCCUUCGGGUUGUAAAGCUCUUUCGGCCGGGAAGAAAUCGCAUCAGCUGAUACCUGGUGUGGAUGACGGUACCGGAAUAAGAAGCACCGGCUAACUACGUGCCAGCCGCCGCGGUAAGAC